rnacentral:rRNA from 1 species
UACGUGGGUGGCGAGCGUUGUCCGGAUUUACUGGGCGUAAAGGGAGCGUAGGCGGACUUUUAAGUGAGAUGUGAAAUACCCGGGCUCAACUUGGGUGCUGCAUUUCAAACUGGAAGUCUAGAGUGCAGGAGAGGAGAAUGGAAUUCCUAGUGUAGCGGUGAAAUGCGUAGAGAUUAGGAAGAACACCAGUGGCGAAGGCGAUUCUCUGGACUGUAACUGACGCUGAGGCUCGAAAGCGUGGGGAGCAAACAGGAUUAGAUACCCGGGUAGU